rfam:Nicotiana sylvestris Nsyl_contig72375, whole genome shotgun sequence.
UGGACAGAUUAUUCUAUUCGAGUGUAUUCGACUGUAUUCACGGCGUGAAACAGGGGAUUACACUUUUUUUAAAUGGAAAGUGAAUCAAUUAACAUAAUAGACUCCU